rnacentral:lncRNA from 1 species
GUUAGGGACGACAUCAAAAGUUCAAUGAAGGAUAAAAAACUUAAUUCACAUAGUUUUUUCACUGACCCCCACACCCCCCUCUUAACUUAAUUUGGGAAAAAUUGAUUGUCCAAUAGGGAUAUAUGUAAAAUCGAUUUUAAAUUAACAAAACUUGCAGCAAUGUUAACCCCCCACCCCCAAACUAUCUGAUUUAAGUUUUUUAUCCUACAUCGAUCUUUUGAUGUCGUCCCUUAACUAACUUAAAAGGCAACCAAUAGUGGACCCAUUACAGGCAUAAUGUUUUGGUUGUUCAUUGGGUUAUUAAUAAUUUUUAUUAUUAAAUGAAAUAAGCUAAUAAGCCCUAAUACGGAUAAACAAGCAUGUGCAAUACUAAAAACGUUCCACUGUCGAUAUAAACCAAGAUUUAAUAUUGCACUUCGAACAGGGCCAAAAAGGAAAAAAGAGGGCA